GCUGGGUGUGGUGGCACAUACCUGUAAUCCCAGCAACUCAGGAGGCUGAGGCAGGAGGAUCACAAGUUUGAGGCCAGUCUCAGCAACUUAGUGAGUCCCUAAGCAAUUUAUGGAGACCCUGUCCCCC
rnacentral:sRNA from 1 species